UCCGCAGGCGGGUCAGUAAGUCAGGGGUGAAAGUUUGCGGCUUAACCGUAAAAUUGCCUUUGAUACUGCUGGUCUUGAGUUGCGGUGAAGUGGCUGGAAUAUGUGGUGUAGCGGUGAAAUGCAUAGAUAUCACAUAGAACACCGAUUGCGAAGGCAGGUCACUAACCGCUGACUGACGCUGAUGGACGAAAGCGUGGGGAGCGAACG
rnacentral:rRNA from 1 species